AUGAGAGUUUGAUCCUGGCUCAGGACGAACGCUGGCGGCGUGCCUAAUACAUGCAAGUAGAACGCUGAGGUUUGGUGUUUACACUAGACUGAUGAGUUGCGAACGGGUGAGUAACGCGUAGGUAACCUGCCUCAUAGCGGGGGAUAACUAUUGGAAACGAUAGCUAAUACCGCAUAAGAGUAAUUAACACAUGUUAGUUAUUUAAAAGGAGCAAUUGCUUCACUGUGAGAUGGACCUGCGUUGUAUUAGCUAGUUGGUGAGGUAAAGGCUCACCAAGGCGACGAUACAUAGCCGACCUGAGAGGGUGAUCGGCCACACUGGGACUGAGACACGGCCCAGACUCCUACGGGAGGCAGCAGUAGGGAAUCUUCGGCAAUGGACGGAAGUCUGACCGAGCAACGCCGCGUGAGUGAAGAAGGUUUUCGGAUCGUAAAGCUCUGUUGUUAGAGAAGAACGUUGGUAGGAGUGGAAAAUCUACCAAGUGACGGUAACUAACCAGAAAGGGACGGCUAACUACGUGCCAGCAGCCGCGGUAAUACGUAGGUCCCGAGCGUUGUCCGGAUUUAUUGGGCGUAAAGCGAGCGCAGGCGGUUCUUUAAGUCUGAAGUUAAAGGCAGUGGCUUAACCAUU
rnacentral:rRNA from 1 species